UGGCCCUCCAGAUGUUGCCCAAUUACAACUACCACCUGACCCAGCAAGUGUGGUCAAUGGACAGAGCUGAUGGGAGUUGGAGUUUGGCAACUUUUGGAAGGCCC